UUACGGUCAUAUCACAUUGAAACACUGGGUCUCAUAUGAUCACUGAAUUUCAGCAACAUCAUGAUUGGUCAGUAAUUAGAUGGGUGACCGCUUGGGAAUACCAGGUUUUGU